rnacentral:rRNA from 1 species
UACGUAGGUGGCAAGCGUUGUCCGGAAUUACUGGGCGUAAAGGGCGUGUAGGUGGUUAUACAAGUCAGAUGUGAAAUACCGGGGCUUAACCGCGGGGGUGCAUUUGAAACUGUAUAACUUGAGGGCAGGAGAGGAAAGUGGAAUUCCUAGUGUAGCGGUGAAAUGCGUAGAUAUUAGGAGGAACACCAGUGGCGAAGGCGACUUUCUGGACUGACCCUGACACUGAGGCGCGAAAGCGUGGGGAG